rnacentral:rRNA from 1 species
AUUGAACGCUGGCGGCAUGCCUUACACAUGCAAGUCGAACGGCAGCACGGACUUCGGUCUGGUGGCGAGUGGCGAACGGGUGAGUAAUACAUCGGAACGUGCCCAGUAAUGGGGGAUAGCUCGGCGAAAGCCGGAUUAAUACCGCAUACGCCCUGAGGGGGAAAGUGGGGGACCGCAAGGCCUCACGUUAUUGGAGCGGCCGAUGGCUGAUUAGCUAGUUGGUGAGGUAAAGGCUCACCAAGGCGACGAUCAGUAGCUGGUCUGAGAGGACGAUCAGCCACACUGGGACUGAGACACGGCCCAGACUCCUACGGGAGGCAGCAGUGGGGAAUUUUGGACAAUGGGCGCAAGCCUGAUCCAGCAAUGCCGCGUGUGCGAAGAAGGCCUUCGGGUUGUAAAGCACUUUUGUCAGGAAAGAAAGCCAUUGGGUUAAUACCCUGAUGGGAUGACGGUACCUGAAGAAUAAGCACCGGCUAACUACGUGCCAGCCGCCGCAGUAA